GGCGGGGCCUGCGACCUGCGGGAGGGAGGACCGAACCUGCGACCUGCGGGAGGGAGGACGGAGCGGGGCCUACGACCUGUGGGCUGGGAGGACGGAGUGAGGCCUGUGACCUGCAGGAGGGAGGAUGGAGUGAGGCCUACGACCUGCAGGCUGGGAGGAUGGAGCGGGCCUGCGACCUGAGGGCUGGGAGGACGGAGCCAGCCGCGGGCAGGCCCGUGUGCACUGGUAAUGCGAUGCUGCUCAUCAGGGACCACACUUUGAGUGAAAGGGGUGCAGAAGAUUGUUCAUACCCGUGCAUUGGUUCAGGUGGGCCACAGGUUCACAGAAGCACAACACCAUGUACCCCCAUCCCCACCUUCCACUGUUAUCCCAAACUUAGUGGCUUUAAACACAUUUAUUCUCUUGUNGGUGCACUGGUUCAGAUGAGAAAACCAAGGCUCAGAGAGACCAAGCACCAGGAUCGGAAUUCGGUCCAUCUGUUCCUGGAGCGUGUUCAGGCUGCUGCUCUUCACCGCCACCCCUAA
rnacentral:lncRNA from 1 species